AAGUCGUAACAAGGUUUCCGUAGGUGAACCUGCGGAAGGAUCAUUAACAAUAAUGAUUUAGGUCUCAUGUGUGGUUGGGGAAACCUGCCAUCAUGAGGCUCUAAAGCCAACUUGUGAACUGUUUGACGUGUUUUUGGGAGUGAAUGGUACUUGUGACCGGAAGCUCCCAUGUUUAUCAACCAAUUGUCUCAAUUUUCUGGUCAUAAAUGUAUUUUUCUGUGAAAAAUAUGAAUACAACUUUUGACAACGGAUCUCUAGGCUCUU
rnacentral:misc_RNA from 1 species